rnacentral:rRNA from 1 species
CGCCUCUUGUUACAUCAAAAUAAGAGGUCCCGCCUGCCCUGUGACUAUAUGUUUAACGGCCGCGGUAUUUUGACCGUGCGAAGGUAGCGCAAUCACUUGUCUUUUAAAUAGAGACCUGUAUGAAUGGCACGACGAGGGCUUAACUGUCUCCUUCUCCAAGUCAAUGAAAUUGAUCUUCCCGUGCAGAAGCGGGAAUAACAACAUAAGACGAGAAGACCCUAUGGAGCUUUAGAUGAAGGGUAAGCUACGUAAGAAACUUGUUUAAAAGAAUAAACCAAGUAAACAUUACCCUAAUAUCUUUGGUUGGGGCGACCGCGGGGUAAAACACAACCCCCGCGAGGAAUGAGGCAUAGGCCUUAAAACCCUGAGCACCAGCUCUAAGUAUCAGAACAUCUGACCUUUAGAUCCGGCAUAGCCGAUCAACGAACCGAGUUACCCUAGGGAUAACAGCGCAAUCCUCUUUCAGAGUCCCUAUCGACAAGAGGGUUUACGACCUCGAUGUUGGAUCAGGACAUCCCAAUGGUGCAGCCGCUAUUAAAGGUUCGUUU